rnacentral:rRNA from 1 species
GACGAACGCUGGCGGCGUGCUUAACACAUGCAAGUCGAACGGAAAGGCCCUGCUUUUGUGGGGUGCUCGAGUGGCGAACGGGUGAGUAACACGUGAGUAACCUGCCCUUGACUUUGGGAUAACUUCAGGCAACUGGGGCUAAUACCGGAUAGGAGCUCCUGCUGCAUGGUGGGGGUUGGAAAGUUUCGGCGGUUGGGGAUGGACUCGCGGCUUAUCAGCUUGUUGGUGGGGUAGUGGCUUACCAAGGCUUUGACGGGUAGCCGGCCUGAGAGGGUGAACGGCCACAUUGGGACUGAGAUACGGCGCAGAGUCCUACGUGAGGCAACAGUGGGGAAUAUUGCACAAUGGGCGGAAGCCUGAUGCAGCAACCCCGCGUGCGGGAUGACGGCCAUCGGGUUGUAAACCGCUUUCGCCUGUGACGAAGCGGGAGUGACGGUAAUGGGUAAAGAAGCACCGGCUAACUACGUG